rnacentral:rRNA from 1 species
AACGAACGCUGGCGGCAGGCUUAACACAUGCAAGUCGAGCGCCCCGCAAGGGGAGCGGCAGACGGGUGAGUAACGCGGGGGAAUCUACCCAUCUCUACGGAAUAACGCAUGGAAACGUGUGCUAAUACCGUAUACGUCCUUCGGGAGAAAGGUUUAUCGGAGAUGGAGGAGCCCGCGUUGGAUUAGCCAGUCGGUGGGGGAAAGGCCUACCAAGGCGACGAUCCAUAGCUGGUCUGAGAGGAUGAUCAGACACACUGGGACUGAGAAACGGCCCAGACUCCUACGGGAGGCAGCAGUGGGGAAUAUUGGACAAUGGGCGCAAGCCUGAUCCAGCCAUGCCGCGUGAGUGAUGAAGGCCCUAGGGUUGUAAAGCUCUUUCACCGGUGAAGAUAAUGACGGUAACCGGAGAAGAAGCCCCGGCUAACUUCGUGCCAGCCGCCGCAGUAAGAC